rnacentral:lncRNA from 1 species
AGGAACAGCUCUGCUAAUGUGAGCCGGGGGAGAACCACAGCCUACGCAGUCACUUUGGUUCCCUCUCGCUGGGGAGGAACUCAUGUACUGCUGCACAGAGUGUGGAAUCAGAGGCAUAGCGAGCCUAGGACUCAAGCUGUCCUGAAAGAACUCUCCACAAGGCUUUUGAUGGACGAUGGGCACCACCUGACAAGGCCUCAGCGCUGCCACAAAAGCACGGAGCUCGGAGUCAACAAGAGACGGCAUCUACCAAGCAUCAAGCGCUGUGGAAACAGAUGAAGAAGGUUUCAUCUCUCCAAGGUACCAUCCAACUGCAGACUCAGAAACAAUGUAGUGAAGGGUGGUUUUUCACACACAGGUACAAGUGUCAUAAAAGGCACAGAAGAGCAGCAGCUGCCAGGUGAUGAAAUUAGGAAAAGUUUCUGUAAAACGACAGGUGACAGCUGGGCCAGGUCCACUUUGGGGGAUGGGUGGGGAAAAGUUUAAGUAUUUCUUUGGGGAGAAAAGAACAACACACUUCCAUCUAAUUAAAGAAACUCACCAUACAAUCUAGAGGCUAUCUAUUUCUCUAUAUCUUAUCUAUUAAGCCAUGAAGUCAUAGACCAGCUCAGGCUCCUCUCCAUCAGUUCCCACAAAGUGUGGCUCUCUGGACAGCACAGGCAGGCAGUUUACUGACCUCAGCUCCCUUCCUCUUCAGCUUUUCUUUUGCUGAUCCCUUUCCUUCACGUGUUCUGUGUGUUCUCACGACACACAGAGCUUCACAUGCUCAAUGUGUAUCAGUUCUCCUAGCAGGAAUCCUAUCUGUACCUUGCUGCUUACAACAAUGCCAACAGCAUGCUGUGUGACACUAGAGACUCUUCAGUUCUGCCACUGUAACGCUUACAGGCCACUCCUUUUUGAACAGUAUGCAGUCACUUGAUUCAAUAAUAUCUCCCUGCCUGAACAUUCACACAGACGUGCUGAAGGAAAAACUCCAUGCUUUCCAAAAGGCUUAGAGAUUAUACGUCAGGAGGACCGUCAAAUGCCUGGAUGAGAAGUGGGAAGCGGAAGUUCCAUCAAAAGAUACUCACAAAGAAAAAAAUGCAGGCCUGAACUUUAAGCAAUGGCUGUGGUGCCCGGAUCCAGUGCUUAGACACCUGAGGAAAACAGUUGGUCACCCGAGUAACCAUAGACUUCUCUUUCAUCAAGGAAAGCUGACCGAGUUCUGAACCACUCUCAUGUAAGCUGUUAUAAGGAUUCCCAAGAAAUCUCUCCUUCCUCUUCUGUCUCCCACCCUUUGUACAGAUUUAAACUCAGAAUCUGAAAACAGUCUAAAUAAAGAUUCUCACACUUUCUCCUA